UACGUAGGGUGCGAGCGUUUGUCCGGAAUUACUGGGCGUAAAGAGCUCGUAGGUGGUUUGUCGCGUUGUUCGUGAAAACUCACAGCUUAACUGUGGGCGUGCGGGCGAUACGGGCAGACUGGAGUACUGCAGGGGAGACUGGAAUUCCUGGUGUAGCGGUGGAAUGCGCAGAUAUCAGGAGGAACACCGGUGGCGAAGGCGGGUCUCUGGGCAGUAACUGACGCUGAGACACGAAAGCGUGGGUAGCAAACAGG
rnacentral:rRNA from 1 species